GAAAUGCGAUAAGUAGUGUGAAUUGCAGAAUUCAGUGAAUCAUCGAAUCUUUGAACGCACAUUGCGCCCUAUGGUAUUCCGUAGGGCAUGCCUGUUCGAGCGUCAUUUACACCUUCAAGCCCUGCUUGGUGAUGGGUGACUGUGGUCCUUGGCCACUCGCCUCAAAGUCAUUGGCGGCCGGUACGUAGGCUUCGAGCGCAGCACAUGUGCGUCCUCGUGCCUAGCUGGAUCGGCUCCCAGAAGCUAAAUCUCAAUUGUUUGACCUCGAAUCAGGUAGGGAUACCCGCUGAACUUAAGC
rnacentral:misc_RNA from 1 species